UUGGCAGUGCUCGCAAGAGAACCGGAACACAGGUGCUGCAUGGCUGUCGUCAGCUCGUGUCGUGAGAUGUUGGGUUAAGUCCCGCAACGAGCGCAACCCUUGUCAUUAGUUGCUACGAAAGGGCACUCUAAUGAGACUGCCGGUGACAAACCGGAGGAAGGUGGGGAUGACGUCAAGUCCUCAUGGCCCUUAUGGGUAGGGCUUCACACGUCAUACAAUGGUCGGGACAGAGGGUCGCCAACCCGCGAGGGGGAGCCAAUCCCAGAAACCCGAUCGUAGUCCGGAUUGCAGGCUGCAACUCGCCUGCAUGAAGUCGGAAUCGCUAGUAAUCGCGGAUCAGCAUGUCGCGGUGAAUACGUUCCCGGGUCUU
rnacentral:rRNA from 1 species